UUAUAAGAGACAGCAGUAGCCGCGGUAAUACGGAGGGUGCAAGCGUUAAUCGGAAUUACUGGGCGUAAAGCGCACGCAGGCGGUCUGACAAGUCAGAUGUGAAAUCCCCGGGCUUAACCUGGGAACUGCAUUUGAAACUGUCAGGCUGGAGUCUUGUAGAGGGGGGUGGAAUUCCAGGUGUAGCGGUGAAAUGCGUAGAGAUCUGGAGGAAUACCGGUGGCGAAGGCGGCCCCCUGGACAAAGACUGACGCUCAGGUGCGAAAGCGUGGGGAGCAAACAGGAUUAGAUACCCCUGUAGUCCCUGUCUCUUAUAA
rnacentral:rRNA from 1 species